GCCGGAUUCGAGCCCUACGCUUAAGAGAAAGUGAAGUCUUGCCUGCCUUCAGCCCCAUGGAAGCACCUUGCCACCUGAAGUUCCCUUCUCUGAGAUGACCAUAGCUUCUGUCAGGCUGACAUAAGCUAUCCAGCACAGGUAUUGAGGAUAUGGAUGAGGACGAUACUGAGGAUGACUUGUGUAAGAAGAACAGCCUUGUUAAUCUUGAUAAUCUUGGUGGUGGUAGGUCACACCUGGUCACAUCCUACUCUGCACUGACUUUUCUCCAGAAUGAAUUAUGGAUGAGGACAACAUUGGUAAUAACUUGGGUAGCAAGACCAACCUGCAAAAUGAUGAACCUGUUAGUGGUGUGUAAUGGCAUUCCUGGUCAGCUCCAGUGAACAGUCUAGCAACAAUCAGGUUAUUUCUUCUGCUUGGAAGACAAGGGAAGAGAGAAUGUCUAUUUAAGGGUUCUUCAAAUGGACAGAGGCAACGACCAGGGUCUAUACCUAAAUCAAUGUGUUUUCACGUCUUUUCUCAUUGUUAUGAUGAAAUAAGUCACAACAAACAAUUUAAUGGAGGAAAGGUUUACUGUGCCUUACUGUUAAAGUGAUCAUUGCAUCAUGUUGGUGGAGACAUGGAAGCUGGCGUGGGAAGGGGUGGCUAUAGAUACAGGGGACUAGCUGGUAACAUUGCAUUCACAAUCCACAGUUAACUCCAGAGAGUUAACUGAGGUGGGGAUGGGUCUUCCCAGUGACUUGCUUCAUCCUAGGAUGCUCCACCUCCAAGGGUUCCAAACCCUUCCCAAACAGCACCAUUAGCCCCACACUACAUGUUCAAACACACAAGGCUAUGGGGGACAUUUUACAUACAUACAAAUGAGAACAUAUAGUAUUCAGUUUAUGGUCUUGCAUAAAUUAGCCACAUCAUGUCAUAAAUGUGGACUCUAAACAAAAAGGAGCCACUUCCUCAUUUAUUUCCCUUUUUUUCUUUCUUCCAUAAAGGAAUAUAAUAUGUUAUAAGUACAAAGAUAUUGUUGUGUUUUUGCUUGACAUCAUUUAAUUCCUAAAACUAAAGCCCAUUUUCUCCUGUGUCCUUGUCCUGUCAGAGUUUUCAGCAUUCUGUACUUUAGUAAUUUUCCAUGUGCCACUUUUUUUUCCAUGUGCCACUUUUUGCUGAAACCAGAUAUAUUAUAGAGACUUCACAUAUAUUAUAGAGGGAAGGGACAUAUAUUACAUAUGCUAUAGGGAAUGAAGAGGGAAUGAGCAUAUAUCACAUAUGGUAUAGAGAAUCCAGAGGGAAGGAACAUAUAUCACACAUGGUAUAGGUAUGCAGGGGAAGGGAACAUAUAUCACAUAUGUUAUGGGAUAAUAAAGAGGAAAGGAGCAUAUAUCAUAUAUGGUAUAGGGAAUCCAGAGGGAAGAAACAUACUUAACAUCAACAAAACUGGAGAUUUAGUUACUGUGCAUGUCUAAUGGUGUAGAAACUGAAUGUAAAAGCACUGUUUGGUAAAAGGAUCAGACUUUCAUAUGCAAAAACAAUUAUUCCUAUCUCUUUUUAUGUCCUUUAUGCCCCUUUUGAAGGCUGUAUUGGUAGAUCAGGAGAGACAGUGCUUGCCUUGAAAAUCAAGGCCUUUCCUAUGAGUUCAGUGGCUAAACAUAAUAGCCCUCAUAUUUGUGUGGCAUUAAUAAUGUACGAUGAUGAAUUUUCUGGGUGUAGCCAUAGUAGAUAUACUAAUACAGAAUUUCAAUCUACUCAGUGUUUCUGAGUUCUCAUUAAAACAGGAUAUAUUAACCAUAGUAAGGAAUCUAUAACAUUCUGAAAAAUAAUGGUGUCCUGUGUUAGAAGUAGAUUCUGAGGAUGCACUCGGGCCAACUUAAGAACCAUUUAAAACUUUCCUAUAACUUCGUCCAACCCAAGUCCAUGUGAAACAAAAAUGAACAUUUUCAUAAGCAUGACCAUGUCAGAAGAACAAUUGCUUGAGAAUGUGUUUAUCUGGAGGUUUAUGUGUUUGUGCACUUAAAUUGUGAGGUCUGCAGCAGCACAUUCUGCCAAUAACUAAUUUCCUCAGCGUUUACACCAUUCCUUGUGUUCACUGAGUCACUCUGGAACAGCGCUCCAAUGUGUCCUCUUUAGUUCUUCACAACCCUUGGGUGGAAUCAAGGAGAACAGUGAGGAAUGGACCCAAACUUGUGAUGCUCUUAGGUGAAAGGACCAAGAAUGGAGUUCCAAAUAUAGUUUAAAAUUUUGUGACUCUAAUCUCUCUUUCUGUGCACAGAAUUAGUAUAUGAGAUCAAUAACCACCACACAAGAGGUUCUAUA